CUUCAGUUCCAGUCGCCAAGGACCAUUUCUAAGUCCUCCGAGGACUAGAGAUGUGAUCUUAGUCAUGCUGACCCAAACCUUUGCAUAGUCCUGUCCUACAGACGGAGAGCAACCAUUUCCCCAAUUAUCAGGGAGAGAACAGAGGAAACCAGUGGUAAAAGUAUCAUUUCAGUUGGAGAAAUUUUUAUCCUGGGGAAUUAUUCACAGACACUAGCCUGGAGGUGAGUAGUCACCUGGGCCUUCUAAAAUGCCAGGGAAAGUCCUGUCAGUUGGGCCCCACUUACGGGCUCUGCUUUCCAAAGGUAGAGAGCAAGAGGUAGGUGGAGUUUCUUCUCCACGGAACUCUGCUUCCUGGCCCGUUUUGCUGGGCUCAGGGUCUAGAUCCAAAGGGAGAGGGGAACCCAGACUGAAGCUCUAGGCCCCUCUCAUAAAGAGAGAGGAGAAUAGUUAAUAACCCACAAAUGACUCACAAAUAACAGGAAAGCUGUUUGCAAACAUGUAAAUGCCUAGCAGCCUCCCCCACUGCCUGCUCAGAAAGAAAUGAGCAAGAGAUAGAACUCUCUCGCCUUCGGAGAGUCCUCCUGCCAAUCUGUCUCCACGUCUCUGGGUGUGAGAAGAGCCAGCUGAGCCAGGGGAAGACCUGAUCUGCACUCACGCAGCGCCGCAGCCUCAGCCUCAGGGUCUUCAGCUUCUCUCCCAGGGAGUUCACGUGCUGUUUGAUGUCUGGGUCGUGGUUCUCUGCCUGGGGCAUCACCUCCUCCAAGUAAAACUGGAUCAUCUCAGACAAGGCUUGGCAACCCAGCAAAGGAAGCAGACCCAGCUCCCGGCCUCCCGUCUCUGAGUCACGCUGCACGCUCCCCUCCCACAUACCCACCAGAGCUCUCACCUUAAAGUCCUCCAGCAAGGAUCUAGUCAACAACAUGCUGUGCAGCUGGUCCUUCGUUUGCUGCAAGAAGAGCAAAAGGAGAAUGAGCCUGAGGGCCAUGAGAACCAGACCUGAAACGAAGUACUUAAAGUUCACCAGAUAGCGCUCAGCACAGAGAAAGUACCCUAUAAAGCACGUAGGGGUGGAGUCCAUUCUAGGAAUGCUUGAAGGCCAUCAUCUUUUUCUUCUGGAUCCUUGCUUUUUGUCCAGCUCAGAGCUAUAAACUCAAGGAUGCUUGGUGCAGGAGCUACCCAGCUCCUAUUCUUCACCUGGACAAGUGUAACUGAGGCUCACCCUCUCCAGCCUACAGGAGGCUUGUGCAAGCCCACACUGUAGCCCCAACCUCACCCCUGUGAGCAAAGUGGUACUUUUGCGGAACUACAAUCUUCCAUGGACUUCAAUUUGUAUGGGAAUGAUAAGCACAGAAGAAAGAAAAGUGAAGUUUAAGUUUCAGCUCCAUUGCCCCACUCCCAACCUCCAUCCUGGACGUGGCCCAUUUCUUCACACCUAUCCAGGCCUCACCAAGAUUUGCUGGCUGUCGUGAUAUAGUCCGGCUAGCUGAAGCAGAAAGGGUAUAUUUACUACAAGGAUCUUGGAGUGUCCCAGAAGAUUCAUGGACCAAGAUGCUGCAGGUCACUGAGGGGCCGGUACCAGGAGCGUGAGUCAUCAGAAAGCCAGGCCUCAGUCUCUCACUCACUGAGGACACAUGGCCACUCUUUUCUGCUUUCCUCAGUACUCCUGCAUUCUGCUCUCUCCCCAGGCCUGAUUUUUCUGCAUCUCUGAGUAGUUUGUAAAAGACUGCUACCACACAGCUCCAGAGGCUACUUGUCUUUAAUUCAAAGGACCUGAAAAAAUUGAUUAGUGCUCUGAAGUCUCCUAUCUCAGUUCCUGGCAGAGAGACUAAUGGCUCAGUCCAGGCCAGGUGUCCAUCCUCCCAUCAACAACAUCCAUUGGACCAGGAUCACACUGGGAAAACAUCAUAAAUGGUAUUCCAAGUCAAAUGGUUGGUCCUCCAUGAAAACCCUUAACUAAUCUUAUGGGAGGAGUCCCCUCCCCCAGAGUUCCCAUAGCACUAUAUCUGCCCCUCUCCCAUGGCACUUAUUGUUUCUUACCUUGUGUUAAUAUUGCUGUUCUAAAAAUCUUAUCCACCAUCCCACAUAUCCAUAACCUUCUUGUUCAUUUAUCUUCAUAUAUCUCACAGCUUGUGCAAACAAAAAAAUUAAACAUGUGCUCAAUAAAUACCUUAAAUCCUGAUAA